rnacentral:ncRNA from 2 species
ACAUUCCGACAGGGGAGCGCCUGCGACGGCGCUGAGAGUGCGGCGAGGGACCGGAAGUCGAGGUCUCAGGCCGCAGACCCUCCCACCUGAUCCGGGUCAUACCGGCGUAGGGAGUCAUCGCAGAUGAGAA